rnacentral:misc_RNA from 1 species
UACCUCAUACUAUUAACGAUGCCCUGGAUCCUGCUCAGCAUUGUAUAUUGCAUCACGCUGUCCCCGCUGGAGUGAGAAGUAAUACGUUGAUCCGCAAAAUAGAGAAAUUUGAGGAGACAGCAACACCUGAACACGUGGUACUAAGAGCCACUAUACCUAUGAUCACCUAUGGCGGAUACUUCCUGGAGUACGUCUACAACGUCAACCAUCAGAACAAGUCUUCGUGGACCUUGGAACGAGAAUUCAAUCUUCUAUCAGCAGAAACAUCCUCGUUACCAUGAAACUAAACACUCUCCAUGCACCAAAUGUAAGCUUCUUCGAACUUUAAAGCUGAGACUGCAGCACGUCCUGCUCGAGUUGCCAUCCUAUCGAUUAAUGUACAUUUCAGGAAGAAAUGCUCCUUGGCUUGUCCAGUAGAGAACACAAAUGACAAUUUGUCCAAAAAUGUAUAUGUUAUGUGCAUAUAAAUCUAAUUUUCUGCAUCUAUGUAACACAAUUGUAUAGUCAGAAGAAA